CGAUUUUUUUACCUGUACUAUCUGAGAUGUAAAUAUCCUAGCUGUUGUUCAGAUUGUGCAUAUCAACCAGAUAUUCCUAAGUUACCGGAUAAAUCGAUAUCAAUGGAUCGAAUUUUUAAGAUAUUUUUCCUCCUUGUAUAACUGUUGUAUUGUUUUAUGUAAUAACAUUGAUUCCAAAUUGCAAUGUAGGCCUUCAUAAAAGAAUAAAAGGCAGCAAUAAUCAACAUACAGUAUUGCAAAGUAUUGGGAAUAUGGUAAGACAGCCAGAAGGCCUACGAAGUUGCAUGCCAAAAAAAAAAAAACAUCGUGUUUUUGAAAACUCACAAAACAGGCGGAACAACGCUAGCACGAAUACUUGAACAAUAUGCUUUCGACAACAAACUAAAUGUGGUUAUUAAAAAAGGAGAAUACAAAAAUUUUCACUUUACAAAUGUGAAUUUUAAUUUUACUUCCAAGAAGAAUUUCGUACCCCCGAUGGGCGUCAA